rnacentral:rRNA from 1 species
GGGACAGGGAGUUUAUUGAGGCCUAAAGCAUCCGUAGCUGGCUAAGUUAGUCCCUUGUUAAAUCCACCGAAUUAAUCGUUGGAUUGCGGGGGAUACUGCUUGGCUAGGGGACGAGAGAGGCAGACGGUAUUUCCGGGGUAGGGGUGAAAUCCUAUAAUCCCGGGAAGACCACCAGUGGCGAAGGCUGUCUGCUAGAACGCGCCCGACGGUGAGGGAUGAAAGCUGGGGGAGCGAACCGGAUUAGAUACCCGGGUAGUCCCAGCUGUAAACGAUGCAGGCUAGGUGUUUGGACGGCCACGUGCCGUUCUAGUGCCGCAGGGAAGCUGUUAAGCCUGCCGCCUGGGGAGUACGAUCGCAAGAUUGAAACUUAAAGGAAUUGGCGGGGGAGCACAAA